UACAAAGGUCUCAAGCGUUGUUCGGAUUCAUUGGGCGUAAAGGGUGUGUAGGCGGCGAGUUAAUUCGGAUGUGAAAUCCCGGGGCUCAACCCCGGAACUGCAUUCGAUGCUGGAUGGCUUGAGACCGGAAGAGGUAAGUGGAACUGCGAGUGUAGAGGUGAAAUUCGUAGAUAUUCGCAAGAACACCAGUGGCGAAGGCGGCUUACUGGUCCGGAUCUGACGCUGAGGCGCGAAAGCGUGGGGAGCAAACAGG
rnacentral:rRNA from 1 species